UAAAAAAUUUGGCGGUAUUUUAGUCUAUUCAGAGGAACUUGUUUUGUAAUCGAUAAUCCCCGUUGGACCUUACUUAGAUUAUUAUUAGUUUAUAUACCGUCGUUAUUAGAAUAUUUUGUAAGAAUAUUAAUUUUCGUAAUUUUUUUUAAAAAAGGAUAUCAGAUCAAGGUGUAGCUAAUAUUUAAGUAGAAAUGAGUUACAAUAAAGUUAUUUAAAUGGAUAUAAAUUUGCAAUAUUUAUUGAAGGUGGAUUUGAUAGUAAAAUUAUAAAGAUUUUUAUUUUGAUUUUAGCUCUAAAAUAUGUACAUAUCGCCCGUCACUCUUAUUAUUAAGGUAAGAUAAGUCGUAACAUAGUAGAUGUACUGGAAAGUGUAUCUAGAAUACAAUUUAAAACUUAAUUAGUAAAGUAUUUCAUUUACAUUGAAAAAGUUUUUGUGCAAAUCAAUAUAAAUUGAUUAAAAUUUAUUUAUUAUAUUUAUUUUUAAAGAUUUUUUUUUAUUAAAAAUAAUUAUAAAAUUUCAUGUUUUAGUAAUUUAUCAAAAAAAAAUAAUUUUAAUUAUAGUUUAAUUGUAUUGUA
rnacentral:rRNA from 1 species